rnacentral:lncRNA from 1 species
UUUCAUAUACGAAUAGUAUCUAUUAAACGUAUUUUUCAAAAACACUCACUAUUUAACUAAUUCAAAAUAUCAAAAUUAUUGUAAGAAAUUUAGGAUGCUAAGUUAUUCAUGUUUUCUUGGUGAUUUUGGCCUCAGUGAACAGAAUGAUGUGUAGCUUGGCAGGUUUGAGCAUAUUUAGAUAGGCUUUACUUUAAGUUCAAGGUGGGUCUUGUUCCCCCUAUAACCAUGGCAGUUAAGACUCAUAGGAUGCCUUUUCUGAGCAUAUUUAGAUAGGCUUUACUUUUAGUUCAAGGUGGGUCUUGUUCCCCCUAUAACCAUGACAGUUAAGACUCAUAGGAUGCCUUUUCUACCUAAAUAAGCCUUUCCUCUUUGUAAAUAUCGAGGGACAGUGUAUUUUGCAUCACAUGUAUCGAAGGAAGGAAUGUCCUGCCAAGUGCAUCGAGUGUAUUACUGGUCAAAGUGUGUACUAUAUACAGUUCAUGAAAUCAGUUUUUGUUUUAAGAAAUUUAUUAUUUUCUUAAGAUCGCUUCAAAAACCUCAUCAAAGGAUCACAUCUGGUAGUUUUGCAGCUCACUGGAAAAUGAUAAGAUUUCUUGUGGUACCAGAUUGUAGUUUCCACACGCCAUUAUUCUAUCAUAUUACUAUUGUAAAUAUUGGAAUGUUAUCUUUUCUUACACAGGCAUUCACAUAUAUUUACACAUGUAAAUAUAUACUUGUGGAUAUAAUUAUGUACAUUCUCACUUAUAGAGAAACUCCUCUUGCAGCGACAAGAGUUUGUGGCUAAACAUUGGGUUGCAUAAUACCUGUACAAGUAAAGCAUACUUACUUAUACACGCAUAACAUCGCUCUCACUGUUUAAAUGUCUUUCUGACAGUAAUAUUUACUACUCUCAUAUGUAUUAUGUGAAGCAGUUGGCAAAAAUUGAGCUUUAUAAAUUGCACACAUAACACUCGCCCCCACAUUUUUAUAUUUGGUGUGACCGUUAUUAGCCAAUUUAUAAGGCUUUUCACAAGCCGAUUGAGCCACAUUUAUUAUACCUAAGGAUUCUUGCCAGAGAUCAUUCAUAUUUUACUCUAGCUUAUCUAAAACAAAUGAAUGCUAAUUUUAUUAUAGAAUGUUAACCCAUAUCAUUAUUAUAACAUUUUGAAGGCACUCCAAGCCAAUAGAAUACUGUAUUCAUUAGAUAUAGAGCAUAGUUUUUUAUUCACAUAUUAUUGUAAAUAAACCCCAGCCUCCCUGUCGACUUGAAGAAAAUAUUUCAAUUUCUAUGACUUGCAGACUUUUCAAUACUUUGACAUAAAUAUGUGGUUAGAAAACGAUUAGACAAUAGACAACAAAUUUAGCUUGAAUAAGGAUGGCAUAAUCUAUGCAUAGAAUUAAAAUGGUUGAGUUUUUCCUGCAAGUUUCGAUUCUCGACAUUCAGGGUCUUUGACACUGCUAUGACGUGGUUGGCUGUUUUCCUCCAUCAAGUAACGCUUUGAUCAUAACCAACUUUCUGUUAAUAGAGUCAUUAGUAUACAGCUUGGCAUCAAGUAAAGAAUGCUGUCUGAAAUAUUUAGCAAAUACAGUAAAAAGUAACCAAUUUUAGUGGUUACUGUAUUCUAAGGCCUAUUUUUUUAACUAAUUAGUUUUAUGAUAAUAUUACAGAAUUUUGGCUUUCAAAAGUUAUUUUUGAAAGCAACUGGACAACCAGGAAAUAGAGAGAGUGUCAGAGACCAUGAAUGUUUCCUGUUAAUUAUAGAGUCUAAUGAAUGAUGUCAUGAUUCCUAAUUUCUUGUCACUGUAACAAAUUAUUUAAAAUUUUGAAUAUGAUCCCAUUAUUGGAUGGAAAGUUUUGUUCUCAUAUUAUGGUUGGAUAAUAUGAUUCGGCUUCAGGCAUUGUGAUGAUGUAAACAUAAAUCAUUUAAAAAAAGUUGUAAUGAUUUGUAAGGAAAUAAUAUUCUCUUAGACAAACGAUGGUACAACACCAAGAUUAUAUACUUUUAACUGCUUUAAGUCUUAGCAGUAAUGGGCCAUUUUUUCUCUCAUUCUCUCUCUAAAAUACGUCAAAAAGUUUUAUGGUCUCGGUGAGAACAGAAGCUUUUGAGUGUUUACGGUCUCCGCCUAGCUCACUGUCCUCAUCAAUUUCAAGGGCAUAACAUCAGCUCUCCUAUUAAGACCUUACCAACAUAACCUUCAACUAGCAUAAUGGUCAGAGCUACAAAUUGAGGUCAUCUAGUGUAUACUGAAGUUCCCAACUAGAUCAAAGAGGCUAUCUAGUGCAAAGAGAAUUUCAGCUAGCUCAAGUGCUUUAGCAAAUAUUAAGUGGAUAAUUUAUAGCUCUUGAAGCCUUCCUCUAGAUGAAGUGUUAUUACCGACCUUCAACUAGCUAGCUGUUCGGGGUCUUAAUUCGAUAAAGGACCUCGGCUGGCUUGUAAGAACUUUGUUUAGCCCAUGAAUGUUGACUAUAAUAACAAACAUCACUGACACAACGUUACACUUGUUAUCUUUGAAUAAAAUAUUUCUCUUUA